UACGUAGGUGGCGAGCGUUGUCCGGAUUUACUGGGCGUAAAGAGCGCGCAGGCGGUCGUCCAAGUCGCGUGUGAAAGCCCCCGGCUCAACUGGGGAGGGUCACGCGAUACUGAUCGACUCGAAGGCAGGAGAGGGAAGCGGAAUUCCCGGUGUAGUGGUGAAAUGCGUAGAUAUCGGGAGGAACACCAGUGGCGAAGGCGGCUUCCUGGCCUGUUCUUGACGCUGAGGCGCGAAAGCUAGGGUAGCAAGCGGG
rnacentral:rRNA from 1 species